rnacentral:tRNA from 1 species
GCCUGUAUAGCUCAGUUGGUAGAGCACUUCACUUGUAAUGAAGGGGUCGUGGGUUCGAAGCCUGCUGCAGGCACCA